rnacentral:rRNA from 1 species
AAUCAACGCUGGCGGCGUGCUUAACACAUGCAAGUCGAGCGGUAAGGCCCUUUCGGGGGUACACGAGCGGCGAACGGGUGAGUAACACGUGGGUGACCUGCCCUCAGCUCUGGGAUAAGCCUGGGAAACCGGGUCUAAUACCGGAUAUGACUCCAUGACGCAUGUUGUGGGGUGGAAAGCCUUGUGCGGCUGAGGAUGGGCCCGCGGCCUAUCAGCUUGUUGGUGGGGUGANGGCCUACCAAGGCGACGACGGGUAGCCGGCCUGAGAGGGCGACCGGCCACACUGGGACUGAGACACGGCCCAGACUCCUACGGGAGGCAGCAGUGGGGAAUCUUGCGCAAUGGGCGAAAGCCUGACGCAGCGACGCCGCGUGAGGGAUGACGGCCUGGUGUAAC